rnacentral:lncRNA from 1 species
UUUUUUUGGAAAUUUAUCGGGAACAGGUAAGGACAAAUUUAACCUGAUAUUUGUCAGACAUAUCCUUGUCAACUACAUUUUUGGUGCAAAUUUUAGUUCCAAAUAAAGUUGCCAGAUUUAUCAAAUACAACAACGGAAUACUCAGUUAAAUUUGAAGUAGAGAUAAACAACUUUUUUUUUGGUGUAAGUAUGCCACAAAUAUUACAUGGGACAUAGUUAUAUUUAAAAAUUAUCCUUUUUAAUUUAAAAUUCAAAUUUUAAAUCUGGAAACAAAUCUGACUGGCAUCCAUCAGGCUGCAGGUUUGAUCCCUGGCCUCAUUCAGUGGGUUAAGGAUCCAGCAGUAUAGGUAGCAGACGUGGCUCGGAUCCCAUGUUGCUAUGGCUGUGGUGCCUCCAUAUGCCACGCGUGUGGCCCUGAAAAGACAAAAAAAUUUUUUUAAUUCAGAUUUAAUUAGAUGUGAUGAAUUCUAUCUGGCAAUACUAAUUUCAUUUUUUUUUUUUUAGGACUGCACCUGCAGCAUAUGGAGAUUCCCAGGCUAGGGGUUGAAUCGGAGCUGUAGCUGUUGGCCUACGCAGGAUCCCAGCCACAUCUUUGACCUACACCAUAGCUCAUGGCAACGUUGGAUCCUUAACUCACUGAGCUAAGCCAGGGAUUUCGAACCUGUGUCCUCAUGGAUGCUAGUCAGAUUCGUUAACCACUGAGCCAUCUCGGGAACUCCAAUACUAAUUUUAGAGUGAGUAGUUUAGUAACUUGAAAUCAAAGGGCCAUAAACCAGGAGUAUUUAUUUGACAAGCACCACUAAUAAGGGUAAGAAACUAAUCUAAACCACUAAUCUCCUUCCAUUCCCUACCCUUCACUANUCCUUAUAAAAUAAUUUUAAAUGAUUUUUAAAUGAUUUUUUAAUAAAAUAAUUUAAAUUUUGGUUCAUUUUUGUUCCUCCUGCCGCACCCAUGGCACAUGGAAGAUCCCAGGACAGGGGUUAAACCCACACCACAGCAGUGACCCAGGUCGUUGCAGUGACAAUGCCGACCCUUAACCUGCUGCACCGCAAGAGAAUUCCUCAGUCCAUAUUUUUAUACAGUAGUAACCCAAGUCAGUAGUAACUUUUUUUUUUUAUAAUGAUUUUUAUUUUUUCCAUUGUGAGUGGUAACUUUGAAAAGCAGCUUGGAUUUAACAGAAAAUCAACCUUUUCAUCGGUCAAAAGAAGGCAUUCCAGACUAAAAUUCCUCAUUUACUUAUGUCAAUAUUUUCAGCCAGUAAAAUAAUCAUAGCUUAUACAUAGUUGUUACGACCUACAAAGUCAGCUGAAACUUUGCCUGUGGAAUAACUGAUUUAUGUAUCGUAUAAAUGAAAAAAUAGUAUCAGUAGAUUAUUGACCUGACAUUGUUAACUGAAAUUAAAAUGCAAAAUACUCGAUUCAUUGUGUAUCAGUAAAAAAGAAAAAAAAAAUCAUCCUCAUUAAAGGUACAGUGUCAAAUGCUUGAGAGUAAAGGAAAAAAAUUUUUUUUGUCCUUUUAGGGCCACACCCAUGGAAUAUGGAGGUUCCCAGGCUAGGGGUCGAAUCGGAGCUGUAGCUGCCAGCCUACACCACUGCCAGGGCAACGAGGGAUCCUUAACCCACUGAGCAAGGCCAGGGAUUGAACCCUCGUCCUGACGGAUGCUAGUCAGAUUCGUUUCCACUGAGCCACGACGGGAACUCCAGGAAAUUCUUAAUCAGCCCAGACAGCAGAGGGGAGGGAGAACAAACAUGAGCAAGUGAGUAUCUAUCAAGGUAUGGAAGGCAGAAUAAGGAAUCCUCUCCCCAAAAUAUGUUCAAGUCUUAAUCCCCAGACCUGUGACCUGUAAAAGGGACUUUGCUGAUGUGACUAAAUUUAAAUAUCUAAAAUAGGGAAAUUAUCCUGAAUUGGGUGAGAGGACCCAAACUAAUCACCCAAGUCUUUAAAAGUAGAGGACCCUUCCUUGCUGUGCAGAAUCAGAGAUGGGAGCCUGAGAAAGACUCAACACAGUUGCUGGCUUUGAAGAUGGGAGAAGGGGCCACGUGCCAAGGAAUACAGAUGGUCUCUGAUAGCUAGAAAAAGCAAGGAAAUGGGUUCUCCCUUAGAGUUGCCAGAGAGAAACUCAGCACUGCCAACACCUUUAUUUUAGCUCAGUGAGACCGGUGUCUGGCUUAAUAAAUAACUAUGAAUUUAUCUUGUUUUAAACUACUACAUUAGAAAAAUAAAAUAAAAAACUAUAAGAGAAAUCUAACAUGUAAGGCUAGAUUCUUUCCAAUUAAAACACUCUGGAAUUUGAGAUUAGGCAGUCUCACAAAUGGUCUCAGGGCACGGAACUCUGUAAGAAACUGAAGGAUUUUUUCUUGAUAUCUGGAUGUGAAUUUGCAUGCUACCUCCCACUCUUGGCUACACCUUCUCCACUAAUUUAGAGUUCCCAGGGGUUGUCAAAUAGCUACCCCACCUUUUUGCAUUAGAAUCUAUCCUUGUGGCUAUGGUGACACACAUAAUGUUUUUAAGUUGAAAAAUAAAAUUUAAAAAGGCCUGUACUCUAUUAAAUAUUUGCCAGAAAAAUCACAACUUUAAAGGAUGUUUUAAAGAAAAGAUUUGGAUGUGGGUAUGAAUAAUGAUAUUUAAUUUGUGAAUAAUAAACCAAAGGUCUUACUUUCUAAUUUUUUAGAAAAUAUUAAGGUUUUACUAUGGAACUUAUGUGUUACAAAGGAUCUUAAAAUAAUCGUGUCAUUUAUUUAUCAAGUAAAUACCUUUUUACCCAUUUUCAUGUGACAUAAAAAUGAAUUGCCCUAACUAAAUGAAGACAGGAUUCUUAACUGGAUAACAGUAGUAGGAAUAAUUCAAUAGAAGAAAGGAAUUUUAGUAUGGACGCACUUAUAAAGCUAGGAAAAUCUUGUCUGUUGUCUGUAAAAUUUCUCAGUUAAAUUGGAGAAAACCCACUCAGCAACAGAAUGAACAUUUAGCGCUUCAAUCCCAGAUAAUGAAUUGGUUAAGGAAUUUGGUGGCAGAUUAUUAAAUAAUUUGCAUGCACUAGCAAAACACAGUGGCACUGUGGCAAAAAUCUACCUGACUUAAAAUUAAAUUUGAUGCAUUUGCUAACAAAGAGAUGUAAUUUGAAAGCAAGUCUAGAAAUUAGCAGGUUAACAUAUCUUUCUCGACAGUUUAGAUUCUCUUCUUCAUGGAUAGAUUCAGCAGUGUUUUUUUUUUUUUUAAAAAAAAAAAGAAACCCAAAACUUGGCCUCUCUCCAGCUUCUGCUCCAAGAACAGAUGAUUAAAUCAUGACAAUGUGUGAUAUUUACCAAUGGAAAGUAUAUACUUUCGAGUACAUCUGGGAAUUAUAUAAACAAAAAACAGUUAGUCAAUGUUGGUUCAGGAAGGCAUGUUUCAGAAUAACGUUUGGUCUACACACUUGGGUUUUCUGGUUACCUAACUUUCCAUUCUUGUCUUCAUUUUUCAACAUCACAAAGAUUUUUAGUUUACUCUAGAGUAUUCAUCAUUGCCCAACGUAUAAUUUCACGUUAAGCAUGACUCAGAAUGCCCUUGAUUUUUAACUUUCCACGGCCUUCAGUUACCUAAAGUUGACUUCUCUCCGACGUCUUUAUCAGCUAUCCUCAGGAAACCAUGAUACUGUAUUUCCGUGACUUCCCUCCGAAAAGUGAAGACAGCUUCUUCCUUAGAAAAACGAAGUCAGUCAAGCAUCAGAUCCUUCUUUAAUUUUUCUUUCUUUCCUUAUCUGUAUUCAUUCAGCAGCUGAUGAAACUACCAUAUCCUCCAAAUUAUUUGGCAUUUUCUCUGCAGAACUGAAAGUCACUAUAUACCAGCUGAAAAAUUUUAAAAGCAGCAAUAAAAGUCCUGAGGUAAAUUCAAUGACUCAUAAGGUUUCUACUGCAUAAUUCUGAUUGAGGUCAGUUUUUUAGGUAACUGCUUUUGUUUGAGGGUCAAGAAGGAAUCCGUAGGAACUGAUGCUUUCAUUUGGGUGAAAUCUACCAUGAAUCGAAACUGCAGAUGUUAUCUACAUUUACUACGUGACAUAAACAAACAUCGACACCUGCCGAAGACAAAGGAUGAACGCUCUGUGGCUAAAGCGGACCAAGAGAGAAAGGUGUGGAGGACAGACUGUACUGAUUCCAGGAGCCCCAGGACUCGGCAUUCCCUUGGGAUGUUUCAGUGCUGGUGGACAGCUGGUGGAGGAAAGGUUAGAGUGAGCUGCAUCAGUAACAAUAGUAUGGAGGCAGGAUGGCUGGCUGAGGAGAGAGGGGGAAGGAGAAAUUUAAUUGUGGGAAUAAGAAGUGGGAUGGGUUCUCAGAAUAUAAAUUAAUGGGUUCUAGACGAGAAAAUAACACUCAGGGCUAUGGGAAUGGCUAAUGUACAAACUUUCAGUUAUGAUGAAAUAUGUUUCAUCCUAGAAAUGGUUUUAUUUUCUA